ACGAGCUGUGGAAUACUUGGAGUUGAGUAAGAAAGGGGCAGCUUUAAUGGAUGUCUUAGCUGAAAUGCCCAAGUUCCCUGAGCGACAGUCCUCAUUAAUUAAAAAGGCUGAAGAUACUGAGGCCGAUACUGCUGAACAAAGUGCAAUCAGGCUGCGUACACAGCAGCAGACCUCUAAUGCUCUUGCAGUGACAGAUCAACCCUCUGCUAACGGUACUCCGCCAGUCAGUCACCUUGGUUUAGUGAAGGUUCCAA
rnacentral:misc_RNA from 1 species